rnacentral:rRNA from 1 species
UACGUAGGGUGCGAGCGUUAAUCGGAAUUACUGGGCGUAAAGCGUGCGCAGGCGGUUCGUUAAGUCAGAUGUGAAAGCCCCGGGCUCAACCUGGGAACUGCAUUUGAAACUGGCGGGCUUGAGUGUGGCAGAGGGGGGUGGGAAUUCCGCGUGUAGCAGUGAAAUGCGUAGAGAUGCGGAGGAACACCGAUGGCGAAGGCAGCCCCCUGGGCCAACACUGACGCUCAGGCACGAAAGCGUGGGGAGCAAACAGG